UACGGGAGGGUGCAAGCGUUGUUCGGAUUUACUGGGCGUAAAGCGCGCGCAGGUGGGUUACAAGUCGGAAGUGAAAUCCCAGGGCUCAACCCUGGGGCUGCUCCCGAAACUGUAAGCCUAGGGACUGGUAGAGGCUGGUAGAAUUCCCGGUGUAGCGGGUGGAAUGCGUAGAGAUCGGGAAGAACACCAGUGGCGAAGGCGGUCUGCUGGGCGGUGGGACAGCAAUGCCCUGGU
rnacentral:rRNA from 1 species